rnacentral:rRNA from 1 species
UUUCAGAGAAGUGAGGGACAAGCCCGGAAGGCGGCACUCGCCGAGUCCAUAGCGGCAAUCUCCGAGGUCAUGUCGACAAUGGCCUCCGCCGAUGUCGGCCAAGAGAAGUUCAUGGAUGCAGGCAGCCGUCUUCAGCGCGUGCCCCCGGCGACAUUGGAGGUGCAGAGGGUGCAGAAUUCCCCGACCAACGUGAUGCACAUAGCCGAAUAUCUAGCUGCCAAUGUCGACCUCGCCAAGGACCUCGUCGCUAGGUGCAGCGCCGUCGCGCAGCAGCUCAUGGAUGAAGACCUCCAGAGCAUAACCGAGGACCUUGAAAAUGUGAUAAAGAACAUCGGUCAUGAGCUCGGCCGGAUACCCGCUUCAGCAUUUGGUAGCAACAGGUGUGCGGAUGCAGCAGCCGGCAUGCACCUUCAGGUCACUGCAAACGGGCAGCAUCCUAAUGAUCAGCGUUCCUGUGAUGGCUAUUCUGAGGGCGACAUGACGAUAGUUGUGGCAAAUGAUAGGCCCAAGAGAAGAGCACUGCACGACGGCGACAUGCCAAGGUUGGUAGACUUCCUGCAGGGAAUGUACCAUGAGUCUCACGAGUUCGGUGGGCAGUCGUUCAGUUCACUCCCUGAAGUCGCAGAGUAUGUUGAGCCGCUGUAUGAUUCUUUCUUCUGCCCACUCACAAAUAAGGUCAUGGUCGAUCCCGUGACUACCGAAAGCGGAGUAACAUAUGACAGGAGAACCAUUGAGGAGUACUUUGACAGUUUAACGGAUGAUUCUGAACCUGUGAUCUGCCCGGUUACGAAAAUAGCGAUGCAGAGCAAGACUCUGAGGACUAAUGUUCCACUCAAGAGCACAAUCGCGGAAUGGAUUAUGAGGAAUGAAGCAACACGGAUCAGAAUCGCACGUACUGCUCUCUCACUGGCAAGGACGGAGGCUAUGAUACUUGAAGCCAUACAUGAGCUGAAGCUGCUUGCCAGGACGAGGAGAAAGAACAGGGAGCAGAUGCACAAGAUUGGCAUAACCAAGUUCCUUGCACGUCUGUUAGAGCACAAGGAUGCACUGAUACGCUGUGACUCACUGGAGCUCCUCUGCCUGCUGGUCGAAGAUGAGCCAGGAAAGGAAAUCAUAGCAAAAACCAGGGCUGUCUCAAGGACAAUAAAGCUGCUUUCUAGUAGUAGUUCGGAUGAAAGACAUGCAGCUAUCUGUUUCUUGCUAGAGCUUUCAAAAUCAGAGUUACUGUUAGAAAACAUCGGGUCAACUGCUGGAAGCAUAUUAAUUCUGAUCACGAUGAAAUUCAACAACUCCGAUGAUCCGAUUACUUCAGAGAAGGCCGGAGAGGUCCUCCAGAACCUGGAGAAAUGCCCAAAGAAUAUCAAGUACAUGGCUGAAAGUGGCUACUUGGACCCUCUCCAAAGGCAUCUCGUUGAAGGGUCGGAAGAUGUGCAGAUGGAAAUGGUGGGUUACCUCGGCGAACUAGUCCAGAAGCAGGAGAUGACCAUUAACAUUGCCGGGAGCGCAUCGGAGAUACUUAUCAAGAUGGUGCACAGCGGCAAUGCUAGUAUCUGCAAGGCGGCGCUUGAUGUCCUGGUCCAAAUAUCUUCUCACCAGCCCAACGGCAAGACACUUGUGGACGCAGGCGCUGUUCCAGUCAUGGUUGAGGCGCUCUUCAUCCGAAAAAUCGAUGAUGAGCCCAUGGGAUCCAAAACCGAGGCUGCAGCAGUACUUGCCAACAUCGUCAAAUCUGGCAUGAACCCAGAGGCCAUUGUUGUCAACAAGGAAGGUCAUGUUAUCACCUCCAAGUACUCGGUUUACAACUUAGCACACAUGCUCAGGUGCUCCAUGCCCGACGAUCUCAACCUCAACAUUUUGCGCGUGCUGCUCGCGCUCACCGCGCUCCCCAAGCCGCUCGCCACGGUGGUCUCAGUCAUGAAGGAGCAAGAUAGCAGCCAGACCGUGAUCGAGUUCAUGGGUUCACCUAGCGAGGCGCUUGGCAUUGCUGCGACAAAGCUGCUCACUGCAUUGUCCCCACAGAUGGGGCACACCAUUGCCGAGAAGCUGUGCAAGGUGCCUGGGCAGCUGGGCAGGCUGAUCAGGAGCAUCAGCCAGUUGGGGCGGAUCACAGAGCGGCAUGCCGUUUCUGCGACGCUCCUGUCAAAGCUGCCCUAUCAGCAUCUGACACUCAACCUCGCGCUGCUGCACCAGAACGCAGUGCCGACCAUGCUGGCCAAGAUAGAGGAGAUGCAGCGUGGCGGGAUGCGGGCGAGCCGCCAUGCGAAGCCAUACUUGGAGGGCCUCGUGGGCUCGCUCGUCCGGCUAACAACGACGCUGCACGAUCAGGAUGUGCUCCAGGCAGCCAUGGACCAUAACUUCACCUUGGUGCUCACCGAUCUGCUGGUCCGGUCGUCAGGCAGCGAUGAGGUGCAGCGGCUCGCGGCGGUCGGCCUCGAGAACCUCAGCCAGCAGUCGGCGAACCGCUCGAAGCCUCCGUCGGAGGAACAGCAGCCCAAGAAGAACAUUCUCCGGCGCCUGCGCACCGGCCGGGUGCAUGACAACCGGAAACCGCCUGCACACGGCCGUCUCUGCCCCGUGCACCAUGGUGUGUGCUCUCCGGCUGCCACGUUUUGCCUGGUGGAGGCCGGCACGGUCGAGUGCCUCCUCGGCGUCCUGGAGAGCAACGAGAACAGCCAUGUGGUCGAGGCCGCGCUGGGCGCGCUCUGCACGCUCAUGGACGAAGGCGUGGACGUGGUGGGCGGCGUGGCUGUGCUCACAGAGCACGACACGCCGCGGCACAUUCUGCGACUCGUGCGGCAGCACCGCAACGACGAGCAGGGCAGCGGCGCGGUGCUGCGGCGGUGCUUCUGGGCCCUGGAGAGCUUCCUCGAAAACGGCGGCGACCGGUGCGUCAAGGAGGUGACCUCGGACCGUGCCCUGCCGAGCGCGCUGGUUGGCGCCUUCCACAAGGGCGACACCGCCACCAAGCAGGUCGCCGAGAGCGUGCUCCGGAGCCUGAACCGGAUGCCGGACUACUCGGCCACCUACAUGUCCGUCGAGCUGUAG